UGCGAGCGUCCGGGUGACGGUUCCCUUCGGGGAUCAAAAGGGAACGCAGUGAGGGUCUUAUGCCCGAUGCUGCGGCUGCCCCCGCAACUGUAAGCGGCGAGCCUUCCGCCACCAUGUCACUGGAUGGGCCUCAUCCGGGAAGACGGUGAGAGGGCAGCGACCCGCGAGCCAGGAGACCUGCCGUCAGUCGUGGUCACACG
rnacentral:ncRNA from 1 species